rnacentral:rRNA from 1 species
AUUGAACGCUGGCGGCAGGCCUAACACAUGUAAGUCGAACGAGUGGCGGACGGGUGAGUACUGUCUGGGAAACUGCCUGAUGGAGGGGGAUAACUACUGGAAACGGUAGCUAAUACCGCAUACCAUCAGAUGUGCCCAGAUGGGAUUAGCUUGUUGGUGGGGUAAAGGCUUACCAAGGCGACGAUCCGUAACUGGUCUGAGAGGAUGACCAGUCACACUGUAACGGAGACACGGUCCAGACUCCUACGGGAGGCAGCAGUGGGGAAGAUUGGACAAUGGGCGAAAGCCUGAUGCAGCCAUGCCGCGUGUGUGAAGAAGGUCUUCGGAUUGUAAAGCACUUUCAGUGGGGAGGCGUUACCAGCAGAAUAAGCACCGGCUAACUCCGUGCCAGCAGCCGCGGUAAUAC